rnacentral:lncRNA from 1 species
GUCCAAGGCCACGGUGCAGGAGGAGCCCAACUCAGAAGAGGCAGCCCGCAGCACUUCAGCUGCCGCUGUUUUGGGACCCUGUUUUGACUCCAGUGCAUGGCACAAGGUUUGGGGCAUGGAAGGAAGUAAAGAUAUUCAGGAUGGAAAAGAGGAUUGCUUCUCUCCAUCCUCAUUCCAGCCCCAUGUCUUGUCCGUGGCCCCCUGAGCUUUCCAGAAUCCAAUAGAACUGUAUCCACAAAAGGAGCAGGAAGUUCAGGGGAGGAGGAAGGACACAGGAAGACAGGCGACUGAGCGCUAAUCAGAUCCUCAGUAGGCCGGACGCAACGCGGGUGGAAGCCACAGUGUUAUGAGGAGAGUGGCUGCUGUUCGGAGGGGACAGCUUCGCAGGCCUGUGUGUCACCAGAUCAGGGCCUGCAGGGUCUGUACCCAAGGCUCCAUCGGAGCUCCUGAAAGCCGUGGCUUUAACACUGUCACAAUAAUGCAUCGGAUGGGUGAAAAAUUGAUUGAAGACUACAAAGUUUGAGUGCGGUGAAGAAGACUUGACUGACGUCAGAAUACAGGUCCUUCAUCUCUCCACUAAUGGACUGAUGUUCACUCCUAGGUGAGGGUGGCUGAGGAUGGUUGCAUUGUGACAUCAGUUUGUAUCUUCUUUUUUAAGGGAACUGCAUCCUUUGUUUAUAUCAGUAUGACCUUUAAGGUAUUCUCAUACAUUCAAAAGGCAAGAUUUAGGGCUAAAAUUCAAUCGUAGAACACAUGUUUAGCAUAUGUAAGGUCCUGGGAUCACUCCCAGCACCUGCCUCUCCAAAGAAAGCAGGCUUUGAGUUACCUUAUCUCGGUUUGUUUUAGCUGAAAACAGUUAGAGACUGCAGAAGCUUUAUGUUAUCCACCCAUAAUUCCAUUUUCUGUACCUCAUGACAUUUCUUUUGUGUGAUGAGAGAGAGUACAAGAAGGAUGAUUUAAAACACAAGCGUUGGAGUCAGACAGACUUGCUCUGGACCUAAGCUCCAGAAUAUACUAAUUAUGUGAUUUGGGUGGGUGGGGGCACUCACAGUUCCUCAGAUAAUACCUGUGGCACAGCACUGAUUAGCAGAGACAAUGACAUUUAGAAAAGGGAAUUAAUACAGCACCUGGUAUAUUGUAAAAAAAACAAAUGGUACUAAUUGUAUUAUUAUUGCAACUCUCCCUAUCAUCAACAACAUUGUUUCAUCCAAAGCAUCAUGAAAACCCAAGAGUUGUGUUACCUCUUACAGAGAUACUUACAGCUUUCUAGGUUAGUUCUGCCCAGUAGGAUUUCCUGCAAAGACAGAAAUGCUCUGUAACAUGUGCUUUCCAGUAUGGCAGUCAAUAUAUGACUGUUGAGGACUUGAAACUUGGUUAGUAUGACUAAGGAAAUAAAUAUUUUAUUUUAAAUCGACAAAUAUUCUAUUUAAAAUCAAAUGUAAAUAGCCACAUAUAGCUAACAGCUACCUUCCUGGAGAAGACUAUUGUAAACUAACACUACUGGGCCAUACCUGAGCUAAAGUUGCUACAUUAAUAUUGAAAGAAAAGUGUAUAAAUCACUUAGUUCACAAAUAUAUAAAGAGCAUCAUGUGUAUAAAUCACUUAGUUCACAAAUAUAUAAAGAGCAAAAUGUUUUAUAGUGUCUUCUUAAAAGUUAUCAUUAAUAUUCUGUUAGUGUCAAAAUCUUGGUGAAAGCUGCACUUGCCUGAGAUUAAUACCAUAGUUGAUGAAUAACAAUUGUCGUAGUAACUGCGAUACUGAAAGGGAUAAACUGUACAAGAAAAGUUGUACUUCUUAAAACUUUGUUCUUUAGAAACUGCCUAACUCUGUGACUGCUUCAUGGCUUUACAAUUACUUUCUUGACCCCUGUAACAACAAGAGUGUAACCGAACAUACAGGAUGCUUGAUUGUACCACUGUACCAAGCUUCAUGAACUAAUGAUCAUUAAUCUGCCCUUGUAACUGAUAAUCUCACCCUGCUAGCUAAUCAUAAAAACUGCUAGGCCAUUCUGUCUCACCUUUGUACCUCCUGCUUGUACAUCAUAUAAAAGCCCGAGACCACCAGACAUCAGGGGCUCAUAUUCUGGAAAUGAUCCUGAUCAGUGUCCACUGGUAUAAAUAAAUCUGCCUCCAAAUCCUGGG